UAAGGAGUUUAAAAGUCCAUUUAUUAAUUAAUUAGGACAACUGGUGAAUGGUUCUCUAUCUCCAACAAGCAGAGAAAAUAAAACUUGUAAUAUAAGCAAGUUAUCAUUCACUCCACAUUUAUUGUGCCGGUUUAGGUUUAAAUAACUUUAUAUCAAAGGGUUGUGUGAUUCUGAAACAAGUAAUUAAAAAUCCUGGAAAGCCUCCUCCCCUGAACACAUCCUUGACACACUGAAGAGAGCAUCGAUCGCUUUAGGACGGGGUCUGAUUAGAUACAGGAAAAUUGGAGACUGUCCACUUCCGGUUCCGAACUUACUGUGUAAAUAAACUUCCAGAAUUGCUUCUAUGAAAUGAAAAUGCCACGUUCUGCUUUAUAAUUCUUGAACCAUGUUGGGGAAAACUGGCUUUCCCCAGCUCUUUCCAGGGCAUAAAACUCAACCCCUUCAUUAGUAAGACUCGUUGUCCGAUUUUUUUCUUUAAAAGAGAAAACUUGUACUUAUUUUUCUUUUCAUGGUUUCUUCCUUUCUUAUCCUGAAACCAUGAACUCUGAAGUGUAAAAAAAAUCUUGACCACAGCUUCUUGCUUGUAAAAAUAUGUAUUAUAUAUUUCUAUUUUUAAAUCUACACCAGAAAAAUGACUGUGCCAUC
rnacentral:lncRNA from 1 species